AUUGAACGCUGGCGGCAGGCCUAACACAUGCAAGUCGAACGAGUCGCGGACGGGUGUCUAAUGUCUGGGCAACUGCCUGUUGGAUGGGGAUAACUACUGGAAACGGUUGCCACUACCGCAUACCAUCAGAUGUGUCCAGAUGGGAUUAUCUGGUUGGUGGGGUAACGGAUCACCAAGGCGACGAUCCCUAGCUGGUCUGAGAGGAUGACCAGCCAAACUGGAACUGGGACACGGUCCAGACUCCUACGGGAGGCAGCAGUGGGGAAUAUUGGACAAUGGGCGAAAGCCUGAUGCAGCCAUGCCGCGUGUAUGAAGAAGGCCUUCGGAUUGUAAAGUACUUUCAGCGGGGAGGCGUUACCCACAGAAGAAGCACCGGCUAACUCCGUGCCAGCAGCCGCGGUAAUUC
rnacentral:rRNA from 1 species